AUUGUUGUCUGUGGAGCUGAUUCUGACUCUUGCUGGGUCUGGUUCCGGCCAGUCAGGGGCUUGCUUCUUGCUUGCCCCAUAGUAGGUGCUCAGUAAAUUCCUGCAGCGUGAAUGAACAGCAAGUACUGAUAACAGCCGGGGCGCCGGGCUGGGGUCCACACUCCCUGCAGGGGAGAGAGCCAGCAGGGCGGGUCGGGGUGCCUCCCAGCCCCAGUGGCUUGCUUUUUCUCUGUUCCAGUUCCAGGAGAAUGUCUCUGGAAAGGAAGCCCAAAGCCCGGUUUGGCUGGGAAGAGGCGGGCAGGGAGGGGAGCAGGGGCCGGGCGGGCCUGGGGAGGAAGUCUGCAGCCCUAGGCUGCCGAGGGCGCGGCGUCUGUGUUCGCACCUUUGGAAUGUGGCUGAUUCACUCUGGGGGGAGGCAGGCAGCCACUGCUGCCGCCGGCUGCCGCCACCGACUCGGAUCCGACAUCUGGAGGCUGGAUUCCAGGAGGAGAGAUGGAGUCUUGCAGGCAGAUGUCAGCUUUGAAGGUCAAAGUGAGCAAGGGAGCCAAGGAGGAAGAGGCUGCCAGGGUCCCACGCUUCCCCACCCAGGAUUCUGGGAGAGAGAGUUGUGCAUCCGUCUCCAGCAUCUAAUUCCAGAACAUUUUUAUCAUCCCCCCAAAGGAAGCCCAGCAGAUUCAUCAACUGUGAGGAAGCUGAGGCUCAGAGAGGUGAGCCAAGGUCACGUCACGGCUGGAAGCCAUGGAGCCAGGACCCUCCUGCCUCCUGGUCAACAGACCCCGGUGUUUCUGCCUGUAUUUAGCAGAGCUUUGCCCACUGUUACUGCACAGUAGAUGUUGCUGACUCUUCAAACAAGGACCAUGCACACCUGAAGUCCCAGAAGUCCUCUGUGAUCUGUCAAGAUGGGGUUCUCGCCCUACACAUCCUUCAGCUGCCCUCUUGCACCUGGCCUUACCUGGGCAGGGCUGGACCCCUGGGACCAGAUGGAGGGACCACAGGAUAAGGGCUUGAGGAUGGUGUACAGGAGCCGACAGCCCACGACGACGGGACCUCAGUCCUACAGCCGCAGGAACUGAAUCCUGCUGACAACCAGUGAGUUUGGAAAACCAUCCAAGGCCCUGAUGAGAUUGCAGCCCUGCCAAUGCCUCAGUUUCACUCGGCAGGACUUUGAGCUGAGAGCCCAGCCAUGCCACGUCUGGCAAUGAUAAAUGGUACUGUUCGUGUCCGACUCUGCAACCCUGUAGACAGCAGCCCACCAGGCUCCUCCGUCCCUGGGAUUCUCCAGGCGAGAACACUGGAGUGGGUUGCCAUUUCCUUCUCCAGUGCAUGAAAGCGAAAAGUGAAAGUGAAGUUGCUCAGUCAUGUCAGACUCUUCGUGGCCCCAUGGACUGCAGCCUACCAGGCUCCUCCAUCCAUGGGAUUUUCCAGGCAAGAGUACUGGAGUGGGGUACCAUCGCCUUCUCCAUUUCAAGCCAAUACAUUGAUGGAAAUCUUAUGUGGCAACAGGGAAUAAGUCCAUCAUCGUUCCAAAGAGGAGAACAGUAUUCUAGAUGCAAAUGUAGGAUAAAAGUUUAAAACUGAGAAAAACCCGUCCCCUGCUCCUCGGGCGCUCUGUAAAGUGGAAACCUGCCACAGCCUCUGUGCUGAUGGUCCCCCCUCCUGCCCUCCUGGCUGCAGUUUAAAUCCAUGGUCUUAGGGCUCACGUCUCUCGCCUGAGCUUACAACCAGCCUCAGAGGAGGGCAAGUGUGUUCUGGAAAGGGUAGCACUGAUGGCACCUUGAGGGCAGUCACAUCCCACUGUGGCUGAAGAAAGAUGCUCUGGAACCCUUUGCUUUAGGAGAUCCCUGAGGUUUCUGGGGCUCCUGGGACUUCUGGAAAUCUUCAGGGUCAACAAAGCUAUUUUUUUAAAGAAAUACAGCUGUUUAAUUUAAUAGCUUUAUUAUAUAUAAUUCACCCAUCUAAAGUGUAAAAUUAAGUGGGUUUUUUUGAAUACAACCAGUUUUGUAACCAUCACCACAAUCGAUUGAGAAGAUUUUAUCACUCCCCCCAAAGAAACUCUGUACCCUAGCACCCACCCUCCAUUUCCCCCUGACUCCCCCUCAUUCCCUUCAGUUCAGUUCAGUUCAGUUCAGUCGCUCAGUCGUGUCUGACUCUUUUCGACCCCAUGGACUGCAGCACGCCAGGCCUCCCUGUCCAUCACCAACUCCCAGAGUUUACUCAAAUUCAUGUUUGAGUCGGCGAUGACAUCCAACCAUCUCAUCCUCUGUCAUACCCUUCUCCUCCUGCCUUCAAUCUUUCCCAGCAUCAGGGUCUUUUCAAAUGAGUCAGUUCUUCACAUCAGGUGGCCAAAGUUUUGGAGUUUCAGCUUCAACAUCAGUCUUUCCUAUGGAUAUUCAGGACUGAUUUCCUUUAGGAUGGACUGGUUGGAUCUCCUUGCAGUCCAAGGGACUCUCAAGAGUCUUCCCCAACACCACAGUUCAAAAGCAUCAAUUCUUUGGCACUCAGCUUUCUUUAUAGUCCAACUCUCACAUCCAUACAUGACCACUGGAAAAACCAUAGCCUUGACUAUAUAGACCUUUGUUGGCAAAGUAAUGUCUCUGCCUCAUUCCCUGGCAACCACUAAUCCACUUUCUACCUCUGUGGAUUUGCCUAUUCCAGACACUUCAUAGAAAUGAAAUCCUACGAUAUGCAGCCUUUUAUGUCUGGCUUCUCUCACUGGUCGUCACGUUGUCAAAGUUCAUCCACCUUGUGCCAUGUAUCAGUACUUCAUCCCUUUACAUGCUGAGCAACUCUUCACUGGGUGAAUAGACCAUGGCUUCUGUAUCCAGUCAUCAAAAGAGCCUGUUGCUCAUCACUCUUCCUACCUGGAAUCUGGGAGUGGGGCUGGGGGAUAGGCAGCAAAGGGGAAUGGGGGGAAGUGGGCUGAUUGGGCUUGGGUUUGACAACAUAGAGGAAGGAGGGCAGGGGUUCUGCGGUGUCCUAGCCACACUGUGGCCCCUGGUUCUUUCCCCUAGGCUGAGUCAGUCCGGUCCCCUCUCCUGUUCUCCAAAGCAUUGUCUGCCCCAGGGUCUCCAGCCCCAGAGUCCUGCUGCAGGUGGGCCGGCUGUCUGUCAGCUCUGUAAUCUGCAUUUCUGAUCUUCUGCAUUUCUAACACCAAUUGUCCACUGGCAGUUAUUUGAUGACAGUCUUCACAGAGACUUCCCUUUUAAAGGGCAAACUGUCUGCAGGCCAGUUUUCACAUCAGAUCCUACCUGUGAGUGUCUUUACUAUAAAGCGGGUGAGCACCAUGAUCAACAGAAAAGAAACUUGCAACAUGCUUGCUUCCUUUCACUGUGACAAGUUUUUUUUUUUUUUUUGGCUGUGCCACAAAGCAUAUGGGGUCUUAGUUCCCCAAUCAGGGAUUGAGUCCGUACCCCCUGCAUUGAAAGUGCAGAGUUUUAACCACUGAACUGCCAGGGAAGUCUCAUUACCAUGACAAGUUUGAGCAGGGGAAGGGGAAAGCUGGGCCCCUCCUCUGUCCCUCCCCUGUUCUCCCUGGCCAGCUACCUCUGGCCACUGUCACCCAUGGCAACCCAGUGAUACCAGGAAAUACCGCUUAUUAAUGCUAUGACAAGCCAGGUGUGCCAGUGACUUCUUGUGACAGUCAGCCUGCAAGCUAGGUACUAUAGGGCUUCUGUUUUACAGACCAGGAAGCUGAUUCAGGUUAAGGAACUUGACUGCGGUCACCCUGAUAACACCAGGAGCUGGGGUUGGGGCAGAACCUCCUGGAUUCUGAGUCACACUGCAUGGCCUCAAGUGCUUUCUGGAAACCCUGUGGUCCAAAGAGUGAGGAGUGUGUGUAGACAGAGAUGAGGUCUGAAGACUAUGGCCCCGGGAUAUCUCAGAUGCUAAGCAGAAAAGAGCUUCAAGAAGGUCAUUUAGGGACUUCCCUGGUGGUUCAAUAGUUAGGAUUCCUUGCUUCCAUUGCAGGGGGCCCGGGUUCAAUCCCUGAACAGGAACUGAAAAAAAAAAAAAAAGUCAGAUACAGUGAAGACAGGAAACAGAGCUCCUUGGAGUCACCAGUGAGAGCAGUUUUCAUGGAGUCCUGGCUUCGGAUGGAGUGAGCAGGAUGAGAAAGUGGGCAUAGACAGCCACUUUAGGGAGCUUUGCAGUCAAGAGUGUAGCUGGAAGGGGAUGUAUGAUUGUCUCAUUUUUUUUUUUCCUUUUUGGCCAAGUUAUGGGGCUGAUGGGAUCUUAGUUCCCUGAUCAGGGAUUGAACCCAGCCCCAUGGCAGUGAAAGCAUGGAGUCUUAACCACUGGACCACCAGGGACUCCACCGUUUUUAAAUGGGAAUAAAAAUGGUUUGUUCUCCACAUGGGAAUGAGCCAGUAGCAGGCAGGAGGGAAGGAUGCAGGAGUGGGGGACAGUUGCUGGAGAGAAUACACGUUGGAGGGGUUCUCCAGGCACCAACAGAACAUGGACCCACAUCUAGGUGCUGGCUGGUUAGCAGAUUUCAGAGCCUUCAGAAGGAAUGCAGCCCUGCUGACACCUUGGUUUUAGCCAAAUACAACCCAUUUGGAUGUCUGACCUCCAGAAAGUGCAUUGUGGACGCUGCGCAGUGUACACAGUUAAGUGGCCCUGUAUCCUCUACUGUCUCCGAUGUCAUCCUUCCUGCUCCUGCAAUGAAGCCUCCCAGGGACCCCCGAUGUUACCCAACAGCUGACUUGAAGGAUUG
ensembl:lncRNA